UUACGCUAUGUAAAUGGCAUAAAGUAUUGCCUCUGAAAAGAAAUAAAUAGAAUAGUCUACGUGCUCUUGAUAGUGAUUGGCCUUCUUUUGUUCAUACCCUUUCUUUUGUUCACACCAUUUCUUCUGUUUGACGUCAAUUGCAUGCGAUGGUACAACAACACAGCUGGAUUUCAACCCUUAUUUCAAUUAUUUUGAAAAACUAUGAAGCAGAAGCGGAAGCGGAAGCGGACAAAUAUAACUAAUCUGAAUGUUGAUGUACUGAAAUGUAUCAUGAGUUUUGUAGCUAAAUCUUUGAAUGGGGCUGGCAGUUUUGCAAGGGCAAUAUCGGUGGGAUGAAGAGUCAGUGUGAUGAGAAAAUGUCUGAUUUUGUCUUUUGUAAGAUAAGAACAGUCUCUACAAAAAUAGUAUGUUUAUUCAUAUACUUCUGGCGAUUUUUGAAUUAAUUUGUGUUUUUAUUUUUCAAGUCAGAAAUUUCCUGGAGAGAUGCAAAAUAUGGUCAAAGAAUUCAAGAACUUAGUUUU